rnacentral:lncRNA from 1 species
UAUGGUGAACGGGUUAAGCCUUUCAGGUCAUUGGAGUUUGACUAUCUUGUAAAAAGAAAAAGAGCAUAAUUUUGAAAUAGGAUGUGUCUAUGUGCGAAGCUUCCAGAAGGGAUUUUGGAGAGUCGGGGAACUGCCUGAAUGUUACUGAAGGCCUGAAGUCAAGGAGAGGGCUCCAGUAUGUGAAGUAGAAAUAAAAAAAAAAAUUUAAGAACUCAUUUAUAAAGGAACAUGGUUGGGAUGUGAAGAGCUCCUUUAACAUGGCACAGAGUCUGGUGACUGGAAGGUCUAGAAGUAUAUCAGAGGAAAGGAAAAAUUAAUGG